rnacentral:rRNA from 1 species
GUCUUAAAGAUAUUAAUUUUAAGUCAAAUCUGCCCAAUGAAAUUUAAUUUUAAAUGGCUGCAAAAUAAAUAAUUGUACAAAGGUAGCAUAAUAAUUUGUUUUUUAAUUAAAAACUAGAAUGAAUGAUUUAAUGAAAUAUAAACUUUAUAAAUUAAAAUAAAUUUAAUUUUUUAUUUAAGUAAAAAAACUUAAAUAAUUUAAAAAGACGACAAGACCCUAUAGAAUUUUAUUUAUAAUUUAAUUUAAUUAAUUUUAAUUAAAAUUAAAAUAUAAAUUUUAUUGGGGUAAUUAAAAAAUUAAAUAAAUUUUUUUAAUAAUAAAACAAAAAUUAUUGAAUAAUAUAUCUUAAAAUUUAAAUUAUUAAAAUUAAUUACCUUAGGGAUAACAGCAUAAUUUUUUUUAAAAGAUCUUAUUAAUAAAAAAGAUUAU